CGCAAUGAAACGAAUCAACUUAUUCCUGUAAUUAACGAAAAUGAUGUAGUGAAUGGAGCUUUCGUAUUCGUAUUUCGUAGCUGCAGCUGCUUCGUGCUAGGUAUCGAUUAUUAUAAUAUUACUUAAAAAUGUUCCAACAGACCAAAUAAUUGUAACAUUGUUACCAGUCAUUAUUGUAUAGUACCUACGAUAAGAAUGUAGAGUUUCGUUUUUGUUUUGUUAAUAAAUUGAAAAAAAUUGUGUACCUAUUACUUCUGCCUCUGGUCAUUUUUUAAAAAUGAGCUUGAAUCAGUAGAAAUGAUGAUUAUGUUCAAAUGAAGCUCAGGUUUUGUUUUGCUUGAGAUGAACACUGAUCUGCUGUUGAGGUAAGAGGUCAUUGAAGGGAGGAGAUUAUUAUUUAUUUGCAUAUGCAGGACCGUUGAGAGGGGGGCAAAGGGAACAGUUUGCCCCGGACCCAUUUUCUAAAAUGUUGAAAGAUUUUGCCCAUUUUCUUCUAAUUUUCUGCAUUAAAAUUUCUAAAAAAAAAAAAAAAUUGGUAGGUAAAAUUCUACUUUUUAAGUUUUGAAGUGAAAAAAUAAACUUCGUUGUGUUACGUAAAAAAAAUUGAAUUAAGAAUUCAGAUCAGAAGAUAUUCAUUUUUAUUUUUAUUCAGAGGUAUGAAAUUUGAAGUAAUUUUGAACUUUGAAGUUUGAACCAAGUAUACUAAUUGACUUUGAAAUUGCAUAAAAUUUGAAAAACGUUCCAUAAUUAAGUACUUGCAAACACCCAAGGGGUGGAAAGCCGGAAAGGGGAAACCAAUUUUUCUAAACUAAAAAUUUUUUAAACGAAAUUAAUUAUUACACUAGCUGAUGAAUUUAUUGUUUCAGUGAAAAACUGAAAAUAAUUAAAAUUAAUUCAAAAUAAAAUAAACGGGAAUUAAUUGAUGCUCAAAAAUAAAUUCAAAAUUCGCGGCAUUUCGGCCAGGCGUCGCGUGACGUCGAACACGCAGUGUUGUACUUUCAAGGAAACUCAAAACAUCGAAGUAACUUCGAUUUUGAUGAUUAAUAAUUUCUUCAUUUAUUUAUUUUUUAUCAAUUAAUUAUCGCGUUAAAAAAUCAAUAACAAUAAAAUAGAAUGAGUAAAUCAAAUUAAUAAAUUUUUCAAAAUGAUUUCGGUCGAAAAAAAAUCAAAAAUUACAAAUUUGUUGCCAAUUUCUCGUUUCCAGCUCCGGUAACAGUCUUGUUUGACAACAAAUUAAUUUUUUUAUCACCACCGCUUGUGUAAAAAAUAUCGGAAAAGAAGAAGAUUUAUAAAAUAGUGACUUUUUAAUUAAUUUUCUUUAUUAUCUAACUUACAUUGUAAAGAAAGAGUUACAUUAUAGUUACAUCGUAGUGUACAAAUCAUCCGGAUUGAUAUUAUUUAUUCGUAACUCGUAAGCGACGAAAACAACCGCGUCCGCGUUCUGUACUUCGUAAAUCGUCGUCGAAAGAAGAAUUUAUCUGAGCAAGACCGUCGAGUUGAGUCCAGUCGUCGAGAAUCUGAAAAGAACUUUCCAAAUCAGACCAAAAAUGAAGCAACAAAUCGAGCAGGAUUUCAAUGGAAUCUACGUAUUAUCGAGUACCUAAAACCCUUAAAAUCCGAUCACAAAUGAAGGAUUGAAUUAGGCCAGAUUUCAAUAAGACCUGUUAAUGGAUAUGUACCAUCCUUCGAAACCGAUUCGUGAAGUAGAUAAGAACCAUAGGAAGAAUUAGUCCUAUCGCACGAGGUCGUAAUUUGAGUCACACGAACGUCAUUCAUGAGAACCGGAGUCAAUUCUGUUAAAAGCCAAAGCAAUGGACGGUACAAAAGCAAUUGAUUAAAAAGGUCUACGCUCGUGAAAUUAAUUUAAUAUGGUCGUGAUGAGAAGACGAAGAAAAUUCUAAAUACCUUGAAAUAGAGAUUCAUUGCCGCGAACAAAACACUCAGCCAUUUUUAGGAACGACGACUUUCCAAAUCCGCGAGGACGAUGCAUAAAGAAGAAUUUACGCUUGCGUUCGCCGGUCAGCAUAUAUUCGAGACCUUGAAAUAGAGAUUCGUUACCACGAACAAAACACUCCGCCAUUUGUAGAAACGAAGACUUUCCAAAUCCACGAGGACGAUGCAUAAGGAAGAAGUUAGGCUUGUAGGAGCCGUUUAGCAUAUGUUCCAGGUGAGUACAAAAUGUCCUUCCAAAAGUGAUACGUAGAAUAUGAACUCGCGUAUGAGAAUAAAGCCAGACAGAUUUUCUCAUUGAGGGGAACACAACACUUGAGUACAAGAUGAAGAAUAGCGUGGAAUCCAUGCUUAAUCUCAAAUGCAACUUCAUGUCUGAGGACAUUGUGACUUUUGUUUAGAAAAAAAACUUUAUUAUUUAUAAUUCAUGCAAUAAAUAUGUAUGUACUUACUCUAUCCUUCGUAUGUGUAGAUGAUUCUUGUAUUUUAUUUUGUUUUUUACCACUCACUGCUCUUUUUGUAAUUUUUGUUUAUGCAUCUUAUGUGUUGUGAUGUGUAUAAUUUUUUUUUCUAAUGAAUAAACACCGUUAUUCGGA